GCCAGGCAGUGCUAAGGGCACCGGCAGCUGUCAGGGAGCACCCAGCACCCAUGGGGUGAAGGAGGACAGGACUAAGUGCCGGGGCACAGACUGUAGUCAUUCCAGCUAUCGCAAUGUCUACCCAGAAUGUGCAAGAAGAACUGCAGAAAAUAGGAGAACGGCUUCUAGUGAAAUUAAGGCAAAUAUCUCAGGCGGACACUGUUGAGAUAGUUUCCUUCACCAUCAUCCUCGUCUUUAUUGGUGUGGUACUACUGAUGGCCAUUCUUGCCUGUUCCUUCUGCUGUUGUGGCAACAAGCGCCGUAUUACCAAGGUACAACCAAAACCGGAGGUCUAAAAGCCAACAAAG